GGGUUGUGAGGUUAAGCGACUAAGCGUACACGGUGGAUGCCCUGGCAGUCAGAGGCGAUGAAGGACGUGCUAAUCUGCGAUAAGCGUCGGUAAGGUGAUAUGAACCGUUAUAACCGGCGAUUUCCGAAUGGGGAAACCCAGUGUGAUUCGUCACACUAUCAUUAACUGAAUCCAUAGGUUAAUGAGGCGAACCGGGGGAACUGAAACAUCUAAGUACCCCGAGGAAAAGAAAUCAACCGAGAUUCCCCCAGUAGCGGCGAGCGAACGGGGAGCAGCCCAGAGCCUGAAUCAGUGUGUGUGUUAGUGGAAGCGUCUGGAAAGGCGCGCGAUACAGGGUGACAGCCCCGUACACAAAAAUGCACAUGCUGUGAGCUCGAUGAGUAGGGCGGGACACGUGGUAUCCUGUCUGAAUAUGGGGGGACCAUCCUCCAAGGCUAAAUACUCCUGACUGACCGAUAGUGAACCAGUACCGUGAGGGAAAGGCGAAAAGAACCCCGGCGAGGGGAGUGAAAAAGAACCUGAAACCGUGUACGUACAAGCAGUGGGAGCACGCUUAGGCGUGUGACUGCGUACCUUUUGUAUAAUGGGUCAGCGACUUAUAUUCUGUAGCAAGGUUAACCGAAUAGGGGAGCCGAAGGGAAACCGAGUCUUAACUGGGCGUUAAGUUGCAGGGUAUAGACCCGAAACCCGGUGAUCUAGCCAUGGGCAGGUUGAAGGUUGGGUAACACUAACUGGAGGACCGAACCGACUAAUGUUGAAAAAUUAGCGGAUGACUUGUGGCUGGGGGUGAAAGGCCAAUCAAACCGGGAGAUAGCUGGUUCUCCCCGAAAGCUAUUUAGGUAGCGCCUCGUGAAUUCAUCUCCGGGGGUAGAGCACUGUUUCGGCAAGGGGGUCAUCCCGACUUACCAACCCGAUGCAAACUGCGAAUACCGGAGAAUGUUAUCACGGGAGACACACGGCGGGUGCUAACGUCCGUCGUGAAGAGGGAAACAACCCAGACCGCCAGCUAAGGUCCCAAAGUCAUGGUUAAGUGGGAAACGAUGUGGGAAGGCCCAGACAGCCAGGAUGUUGGCUUAGAAGCAGCCAUCAUUUAAAGAAAGCGUAAUAGCUCACUGGUCGAGUCGGCCUGCGCGGAAGAUGUAACGGGGCUAAACCAUGCACCGAAGCUGCGGCAGCGACGCUUAUGCGUUGUUGGGUAGGGGAGCGUUCUGUAAGCCUGCGAAGGUGUGCUGUGAGGCAUGCUGGAGGUAUCAGAAGUGCGAAUGCUGACAUAAGUAACGAUAAAGCGGGUGAAAAGCCCGCUCGCCGGAAGACCAAGGGUUCCUGUCCAACGUUAAUCGGGGCAGGGUGAGUCGACCCCUAAGGCGAGGCCGAAAGGCGUAGUCGAUGGGAAACAGGUUAAUAUUCCUGUACUUGGUGUUACUGCGAAGGGGGGACGGAGAAGGCUAUGUUGGCCGGGCGACGGUUGUCCCGGUUUAAGCGUGUAGGCUGGUUUUCCAGGCAAAUCCGGAAAAUCAAGGCUGAGGCGUGAUGACGAGGCACUACGGUGCUGAAGCAACAAAUGCCCUGCUUCCAGGAAAAGCCUCUAAGCAUCAGGUAACAUCAAAUCGUACCCCAAACCGACACAGGUGGUCAGGUAGAGAAUACCAAGGCGCUUGAGAGAACUCGGGUGAAGGAACUAGGCAAAAUGGUGCCGUAACUUCGGGAGAAGGCACGCUGAUAUGUAGGUGAAGUCCCUCGCGGAUGGAGCUGAAAUCAGUCGAAGAUACCAGCUGGCUGCAACUGUUUAUUAAAAACACAGCACUGUGCAAACACGAAAGUGGACGUAUACGGUGUGACGCCUGCCCGGUGCCGGAAGGUUAAUUGAUGGGGUCAGCGCAAGCGAAGCUCUUGAUCGAAGCCCCGGUAAACGGCGGCCGUAACUAUAACGGUCCUAAGGUAGCGAAAUUCCUUGUCGGGUAAGUUCCGACCUGCACGAAUGGCGUAAUGAUGGCCAGGCUGUCUCCACCCGAGACUCAGUGAAAUUGAACUCGCUGUGAAGAUGCAGUGUACCCGCGGCAAGACGGAAAGACCCCGUGAACCUUUACUAUAGCUUGACACUGAACAUUGAGCCUUGAUGUGUAGGAUAGGUGGGAGGCUUUGAAGUGUGGACGCCAGUCUGCAUGGAGCCGACCUUGAAAUACCACCCUUUAAUGUUUGAUGUUCUAACGUGGACCCGUAAUCCGGGUUGCGGACAGUGUCUGGUGGGUAGUUUGACUGGGGCGGUCUCCUCCUAAAGAGUAACGGAGGAGCACGAAGGUUGGCUAAUCCUGGUCGGACAUCAGGAGGUUAGUGCAAUGGCAUAAGCCAGCUUGACUGCGAGCGUGACGGCGCGAGCAGGUGCGAAAGCAGGUCAUAGUGAUCCGGUGGUUCUGAAUGGAAGGGCCAUCGCUCAACGGAUAAAAGGUACUCCGGGGAUAACAGGCUGAUACCGCCCAAGAGUUCAUAUCGACGGCGGUGUUUGGCACCUCGAUGUCGGCUCAUCACAUCCUGGGGCUGAAGUAGGUCCCAAGGGUAUGGCUGUUCGCCAUUUAAAGUGGUACGCGAGCUGGGUUUAGAACGUCGUGAGACAGUUCGGUCCCUAUCUGCCGUGGGCGCUGGAGACUUGCGGGGGGCUGCUCCUAGUAAGAGAGGACCGGAGUGGACGCAUCACUGGUGUUCGGCUUGUCAUGCCAAUGGCACUGCCC
rnacentral:rRNA from 1 species